rnacentral:rRNA from 1 species
AGCAGCCGCGGUAAUUCCAGCUCCAAUAGCGUAUAUUAAAGUUGUUGCAGUUAAAAAGCUCGUAGUUGAAUUUCGGGGUCAAUAAGUUGGUCAUGCCAAUGGUAUGCACUGGCUUUAUUGAUUCCUACCUCUUGACGAACUGUGAUGCCAUUAAUUUGGUGUUGCAAGGAAUCAGGACUGUUACCUUGAAAAAUUAGAGUGUUUAAAGCAAGCUUACGCUUGAAUACAUUAGCAUGGAAUAAUGAAAUAGGACGUUUGAUCCUAUUUUGUUGGUUUCUAGGAUCGACGUAAUGAUUAAUAGGGAUAGUUGGGGGCAUUAGUAUUCAAUUGUCAGAGGUGAAAUUCUUGGAUUUAUUGAAGACUAACUACUGCGAAAGCAUUUGCCAAGGAUGUUUUCAUUAAUCAAGAACGAAAGUUAGGGGAUCGAAGACGAUCAGAUACCGUCGUAGUCUUAACCAUAAACUAUGCCGACUAGGGAUCGGAUGAUGUUAAUUUUUAAUGACUCAUUC